GACGAACGCUGGCGGCGUGCUUAACACAUGCAAGUCGAACGGAAAGGCCCUGCUUUUGUGGGGUGCUCGAGUGGCGAACGGGUGAGUAACACGUGAGUAACCUGCACUUGACUUUGGGAUAACUUCAGGAAACUGAGGCUAAUACCGGAUAGGAGUUCCUGCUGCAUGGUGGGGGUUGGAAAGUUUCGGUGGUUGGGGAUGGACUCGCGGCGUAUCAGCUUGUUGCUGGGGUAGUGGCUUACCAAGGCUUGGACGCGUAGCCUGCCUGAGAGGGUGACCGGCCACACUAGGACUGAGAUGAGACACAGACCCCAACGGGACGGAAGAGAGGAGAAUGGUAUACAAUGGGCGGAGGGCUGGUGUAGCAACGCAGUGUGGGGGAUGACGUGCAGCGGGUUGUGAACCACUGCCGCCUGUGACGAGACGUGAGUGACGGUACCGGGUAAAGAAGCACCGGCUAACUACGUG
rnacentral:rRNA from 1 species